UAAACGCCAACGAUGAGCGUUUCGCACUGGCCGCUUAAGGCCUAUGCCGAGGCUGCUUGAGCCUUGUUACCAAAGAAAAGCCGGUGGGGACUUCGGUCCCCAUCGUCA
rnacentral:tmRNA from 1 species